UGAACGCUGGCGGCGUGCCUAAUACAUGCAAGUCGAGCGAGAAUCAGUGAAGCAGAGAUUCGUCAAAGCGGAUCUGAGGAAAGCGGCGGACGGGUGAGUAACGCGUAGGCAACCUGCCCUUAGCAGAGGGAUAGCCAUUGGAAACGAUGAUUAAAACCUCAUAAUGCAGUUUCAACACAUGUUGGGAUUGCCAAAGAUUUAUCGGCUAAGGAUGGGCCUGCGUCUGAUUAACUAGUUGGUGAGGUAACGGCUCACCAAGGUGACGAUCAGUAGCCGACCUGAGAGGGUGGACGGCCACACUGGGACUGAGACACGGCCCAGACUCCUACGGGAGGCAGCAGUGGGGAAUAUUGCGCAAUGGGGGAAACCCUGACGCAGCGACGCCGCGUGAGCCGAAGAAGGCCUUAGGGUCGUAAAGCUCUGUUGUAAGGGACGAAUGUUUAUCUGGCGAACAGUCAGAUAAAGUGACGGUACCUUACCAGCAAGCCCCGGCUAACUACGUGCCAGCCGCCGC
rnacentral:rRNA from 1 species